UAAGGAAUAUUGGGCAAUGGCCUAACGGCUGACCCAGCAACGCCGCGUGACUGAUGAAGUUCUACGGAACGUAAAGGUCUGUUAGGAGGGAAGAACAGUAUCGAAGUGAAUAAUUUCGAUGCAUGACGGUACUUCCAGAGAAAGCACCGGCUAACUCCGUGCCAGCAGCCGCGGUAAUACGGGGGGUGCAAGCGUUGUCCGGAAUUACUGGGCGUAAAGGGUGGGUAGGCGGGCUGGUAAGUCCAGCGUUUAAUCUGUCCGCUUAACGGACAAUAUGCGUUGGAAACUGCCAGUCUUGAGUCGCGUAGAGGAAGGUGGAAUUCCUGGUGUAGCGGUGAAAUGUGUAGAUAUCAGGAAGAACACCGGUAGCGAAGGCGGCCUUCUGGGCGCCGACUGACGCUGAGCCACGAAAGUGUGGGGAGCAAACAGG
rnacentral:rRNA from 1 species